GAUGAACGCUGGCGGCGUGCCUAAUACAUGCAAGUCGAGCGAACAGACGAGGAGCUUGCUCCUCUGACGUUAGCGGCGGACGGGUGAGUAACACGUGGAUAACCUACCUAUAAGACUGGGAUAACUUCGGGAAACCGGAGCUAAUACCGGAUAAUAUAUUGAACCGCAUGGUUCAAUAGUGAAAGACGGUUUUGCUGUCACUUAUAGAUGGAUCCGCGCCGCAUUAGCUAGUUGGUAAGGUAACGGCUUACCAAGGCAACGAUGCGUAGCCGACCUGAUAGGGGGAUCGGCCACACUGGAACUGAGACACGGUCCAGACUCCUACGGGAGGCAGCAGUAGGGAAUCUUCCGCAAUGGGCGAAAGCCUGGCGGAGCAACGCCGCGUGAGUGAUGAAGGUCUUCGGAUCGUAAAACUCUGUUAUUAGGGAAGAACAAAUGUGUAAGUAACUAUGCACGUCUUGACGGUACCUAAUCAGAAAGCCACGGCUAACUACGUG
rnacentral:rRNA from 1 species